rnacentral:rRNA from 1 species
UACGAAGGGAGCUAGCGUUGUUCGGAAUCACUGGGCGUAAAGCGCACGUAGGCGGAUUUGUUAGUCAGGGGUGAAAUCCCGGGGCUCAACCUCGGAACUGCCUUUGAUACUGCAAAUCUCGAGUCCGGAAGAGGUGGGUGGAAUUCCUAGUGUAGAGGUGAAAUUCGUAGAUAUUCGCAAGAACACCAGUGGCGAAGGCGGCUUACUGGUCCGGUUCUGACGCUGAGGCGCGAAAGCGUGGGGAGCAAACAGG